UACGUAGGUCCCGAGCGUUGUCCGGAUUUAUUGGGCGUAAAGCGAGCGCAGGUGGUUUAUUAAGUCUGGUGUAAAAGGCAGUGGCUCAACCAUUGUAUGCAUUGGAAACUGGUAGACUUGAGUGCAGGAGAGGAGAGUGGAAUUCCAUGUGUAGCGGUGAAAUGCAUAGAUAUCACGCAGAACUCCGAUUGCGAAGGCAGCAUACCGGCGCCCGACUGACGCUGAGGCACGAAAGCGUGGGUAUCGAACAGG
rnacentral:rRNA from 1 species